rnacentral:rRNA from 1 species
AGAGUUUGAUCCUGGCUCAGAACAAACGCUGGCGGCGUGCCUAACACAUGCAAGUCGUACGUGAAAGUCCGUUUCGGCGGGCGAGUAAAGUGGCGCACGGGUGAGUAACGCGUGGAUAAUCUGCCCCUCAGUCGGGAAUAACUCAUCGAAAGGUGGGCUAAUACCCGAUAAUGCUGCUUCUACUUUGGUGGAGCAGCCAAAGAGAGCCUCUGUUUACAUGCCCUCACUGAAGGAUGAGUCCGCGUACCAUUAGCUAGUUGGUGGGGUAACGGCCUACCAAGGCGACGAUGGUUAGCUGGUCUGAGAGGAUGAUCAGCCACACUGGAAYUGAGACACGGUCCAGACUCCUACGGGAGGCAGCAGUGAGGAAUCUUGCGCAAUGGGGGAAACCCUGACGCAGCAACGCCGCGUGAGUGAGGAAGGUUUUCGGAUCGUAAAGCUCUGUCGGGUGGAAAGAAAUGCAUGGGGGUUAAUACCCCUCAUGCUUGACGGUACCACCAGAGGAAGCACCGGCUACUCCGUGCCAGCAGCCGCGGUAAUAC